UUUUUUUUUUUUAAAGACAGGGGGAUAACCUCCCCUUAGGAGGGGAACUCUGGGAAACUGGAGAUAAUACUGGAUAGAUGAUUUUUCCUGUAAUUGGUAUUUUGUUGAAAUGUUUUUUCGCCUAAGGAUGGGUCUGCGGCCGAUUAGGUAGUUGGUGAGGUAAUGGCUUACCAAGCCGUUUAUCGGUACGGGUUGUGAGAGCAAGAGCCCGGAGAUGGAACCUGAGACAAGGUUCCAGGCCCUACGGGGCGCAGCAAGGCGCGAAACCUCCCCAAUGUGAGCAAUCGCGACGGGGGGAUCCCAAGUGCCAUUCUUAACGGGGAUGGCUUUUCUUAACGUGUUACUGAGCAGU
rnacentral:rRNA from 1 species